UCUAUAAAUUGCACCUGGUGUGUAGGAGUGGGUGUGAAAGCGGGAUAACGUUGAAUUAGUGUGAAUGGGUGAUCGAUGGAUGGUGUGGACUUGGUGG